GACGAACGCUGGCGGCGUGCUUAACACAUGCAAGUCGAACGGAAAGGCCCUGCUUUUGUGGGGUGCUCGAGUGGCGAACGGGUGAGUAACACGUGAGUAACCUGCCAUUGACUUUGGGAUAACUUCAGGAAACUGGGGCUAAUACCGGAUAGGAGCUCCUGCUGCAUGGUGGGGGUUGGAAAGUUUCGGCGGUUGGGGCUGGACUCGCGGCUUAUCAGCUUGUUGGUGGGGUAGUGGCUUACCAAGGCUUUGACGGGUAGCCGGCCUGAGAGGGUGACCGGCCACAUUGGGACUGAGGUACGGCCCAGACUCCUACGGGAGGCAGCAGUGGGGAAUAUUGCACAAUGGGCGGAAGCCUGAUGCAGCAACGCCGCGUGCGGGAUGACGGCCUUCGGGUUGUAAACCGCUUUCGCCUGUGACGAAGCGUGAGUGACGGUAAUGGGUAAAGAAGCACCGGCUAACUACGUG
rnacentral:rRNA from 1 species